GCAUAAGAGCAUCUUGAAGACUUCUUGUGCUUCCAUCACAGUGAAUCAGAGGAGGACUAGAAAAAUACUAAUGAAAAUGAAAAGCUCCUAAUUUAACAUUUGACAAUCUCGUUUUUCUUUACAGAGGAACUGGCCCGGACUGAGAAGUCAUGUAGGAACGUGACAGUCAGGGGAAUUCAGGAGAAAGAAGCACAAUGUCUGACAGCAAUGACGUGUGGGAGUCACCCGGCUGUGGGACAAGAGAUGAGGACAAUAAAGACACAAGUGGAUUCUCUGAACAUGAACUCCUUGACAUCAUGUAUA